GAGCUUUCACUUUGGCAGCACAUACGCUUAAAUUGAAAUGAUACAAAGAUUAGCAUGGCCCCUACAUAAGGAUGGCAUGCAAAUUCAUGAAGCAUUCUGUAUUUUU
rnacentral:snRNA from 1 species